rnacentral:rRNA from 1 species
UACGAAGGGGACUAGCGUUGUUCGGAAUUACUGGGCGUAAAGCGCACGUAGGCGGAUAGCUAAGUCAGGGGUGAAAUCCCGGGGCUCAACCUCGGAACUGCCUUUGAUACUGACAAUCUCGAGUCCGAUAGAGGUGGGUGGAAUUCCUAGUGUAGAGGUGAAAUUCGUAGAUAUCCGGAAGAACACCGGUGGCGAAGGCGGUCUGCUGGGCAGUAGCUGACACUGAGGCGCGACAGCGUGGGGAGCAAACAGG